ACUAAGCACACAUGAGUUAGCGAUCCCUUAUCGGGGACGAAGGUGCAGCUAUUUUUUCCUCGUGUUUUUGGCGGAGUCACUGCCGCGGGUUGAGGGGGCGGCUCGUUCUCCGUGUGACGGAAUGCAUCAGUGUGGAGACAGAUUCAGCCCGGAAUGACAAGUGUUUCCUUGGGCAUAAGCAGCUCAGCUUCCUAAUUCAAUAAUUGCACGUAUUAUAUCAAAACUGCCGAGACGAUCGAUCACGUACCCGACGUUUGCUGUCUUACACUGGAAGCAGUGCCGGCAGCUGUCGCUCCGUUGGGCCUUCUGCUCCAGUAACUCCUAGUCACCAGGAAUUUGGGAGAAGGAACCAGUCUGGGGGAGGGGAACAGCCUUCGGCCAAACAUGCUGCUUGGAUAUGUUGUAUCAAACUUAGAUGCAAAUAACAGCACUUACAAUAAUGUUACAUAUAUAGUUACACUUUCACAUAAGCCCUGGAAUACAAAGUUGUAUUUUCUCUUUAAGUAUUUCAACUCCCUCAAUACAUCCAUACGACGUUACUGAAAAUGCUGCUAACUGUAGUGUCUAGUAGUGUACAAGCAUAUCUGAAAAGCAGUCAAUGCAUGUCAUAUUUAUUGUAGGUCAUAUGACUGAUCCUCACUGGUGUGUGUUAGAUCUCAACGGUAUAUUGAUGGAAAUGCAUUCAAUUUCCUUGAUUGUCUGACAUAGAUAUUUGAUAACCUAUUGUGUAUGCAAUAUGCUGUUUUAACAGUCCUGGAGUCUGAAGUUCUGUUCAGCCACAAAACGGAGAACGAAGAUGACAGCGGGUCAGAUUUACACAUGCUGCUCACCUUAUGUUCCUUAAUUGUGUUCUGCAGAGACCAUGUCUAAGGAUAGAGCUAGUUUCAUUUUCAUGCCCAUUUAAUCUCUGGCUUCUCUACUGGGACUACCACCAACUUAGCUGGGAUAGUGUUUUAUUAUGAUAAUAUAUGUUUACUGAGAAAUGGACAAAAUGCUAAAAAAAAAGCCAUUUUACAUGAGCCACAAAACAGCAAUGGAAAACACUAUGUCAGGAUCGUUAAUCGCUUCAUUCAGUUUCUUGCGGGGCUUUGGAUGAAGAUAGUUUAAUCAUUAGCAACAAGAUGGACUGUUGAUCACAUUUACCAUGGGUGAGCUCCUGAAUUCUGACUGAGGUACACUUGGCACGGCAUUCCUCAUGGAGGAGAAAAGGCACUAAGGUGAUGUUAAGGCACCUUUACUCUUCCCUGAUUUGGACUGCUUUGCUCCUGGACAGUCUCCUUAACAUUGACUUUAAGCUAUGAUGCAGCCUCUUAGCUUAAGAGUCUGUUUUGACAGCUGAUGCCAGCACAUAAAUCUUGCACUGGUCAAAACAAAUGGAACAGAAUGAAAACUAGAGCCAUGCUGUGUGAGGAUGCUGACAUCUGUGGAUAGUAACCAUCAACCCCUUGCUCACGAGAGCCUGCAGAGCUGCUUCUGGCCACACUGAAGACAGAGUUAAAUGUGAACUUGGCAGAGAGAGCAAAACAUGAAAUUGCCCAAAAUACACUUUUGCUCAGUAUUUUGCCUUUGUCCCGGAGAUGAUUUUGAACAAUUGCCUUUGGUAAGCUUGUCGGAUCCAAAAAGGGUAACAUCUAACGUUGUUGAGGAUCUUUGUGUCCAAAAAAGCAAUCCUAAAAGAGGACUGUAUCAACUUCUAAUCAAACCUCAAAUAAUUUUUUUUAGGAAAUCAAUUACAUUAGCUCUACAGCAGAUGUAUAGUAGCUGUACACUAGUUACAUUGCUCUUCAAAAGCUGCUAAUUAGUGUGGCAUCCUCCUGUAGGAAGCUAUCACUCCUCUCUCUCCAGUGGUAGGAAUGAAGAAUUUCUGUGGCAAGUUUAUUUAAAAUUAAUGGUGGUGGAUUUUUUAAGCUGAUGAAAACCCAUAAGAAUCCCUUCUGAAGUAAUGAAUUGGUGAAUAAAUGAUGUGGAAAUAGACACUGUAAAUGUAUCACAAUUAUCAUUCCAGAAAUAUUCUGUAUAGGCACAUUUAUGAUAAUGGUACCCAUCAUGCUAACCAUUGAAUGAAUCCAUAUUUCUGUAAUUGUGGAACAAAUUUCAUUUAUUUUACAUUUUAUGGCUUCCUUAUCUCUAUUCUGAGCAUUAAUAUUUCUCACAAGGGGCUAACACUACAAUCCAAAUCUCUAAGUAGUUUUUAUCAAUGUUGUAUAUAUGCACACAUGUAAAAAAAUCAUUACUUUUUCAUUGUCAGCUUAUUCAUCUUAUUUUCUAUCAGUAAUCUCAAUCAUGUAAAAAUGAGGACUAAAAAUAUGUGAAUUCCUGGAUUCGAUGUUGGCUUAAUGAUAUUUAACACUGAAUGUCUUAUGAACUGCCAUGUUUGAAAACACAGGUCAAAUCCCAUUGAAGCAAGGAGAUCUACACGUUCCAGUGAGAUGAACUAUCCUAUUUCUAGACUUGUUAGACUAAUAUAUUGUACUUUAAGUAAUUUGAUUUGUAGAAAAGCUACUUUGAAACAUUUUUAGGAGGGCUUAAAAACAAUCUUUUUAAUUUUUGUCAAUAUGCAAAAUAGGGUUCAUGGUAAGAGAGAACUUUACUUUGGGGAAAAUACUGUCUUUUUCAGAAUGUGUAAAAUAUUUAGGGAAUUUCUUCAUCAUAAAAGAAAUUCAAUUUUGACUGUAAUUAAACAAGAAUCACUGUGUUUUUCCAUUUCUCUCUUCUUUAUGAAUCUUCAGCUCACUUUUUUCAGUUAUUUUUUCCCU